GCCGAGGUCGCCUAGCCCGGUAGGGCGCCAGCCUGGAGAGGUUCCCGCGCUUUCUGGAAUCCCCGAGAGCUGGUGGCCGAAAGGCCUCGGGAGUUCGAAUCUCCCCCUCGGCG
rnacentral:tRNA from 1 species